GUGGGAGGGAGCUGUCGAAGGUGGGACUGGCGAUUGGGACGAAGUCGUAACAAGGUAGCCGUACCGGAAGGUGCGGCUGGAUCACCUCCUUUCUA
rnacentral:rRNA from 1 species